rnacentral:rRNA from 1 species
GAACGCUGGCGGCGUGCUUAACACAUGCAAGUCGAACGGUAAGGCCCCAGCUUGCUGGGGUACACGAGUGGCGAACGGGUGAGUAACACGUGGGUGACCUGCCCCGCACUUCGGGAUAAGCCUGGGAAACUGGGUCUAAUACCGGAUAGGACCGCACCGUGAGGGUGUGGUGGAAAGUUUUUCGGUGUGGGAUGGGCCCGCGGCCUAUCAGCUUGUUGGUGGGGUAAUGGCCUACCAAGGCGGCGACGGGUAGCCGGCCUGAGAGGGUGGACGGCCACAUUGGGACUGAGACACGGCCCAGACUCCUACGGGAGGCAGCAGUGGGGAAUAUUGCACAAUGGGCGGAAGCCUGAUGCAGCGACGCCGCGUGGGGGAUGACGGCCUUCGGGUUGUAAACUCCUUUCACCAUCGACGAAGGUUUUCUGACGGUAGAUGGAGAAGAAGCACCGGCUAACUACGUG